rnacentral:lncRNA from 1 species
GGCCGGAACGGCUGGGCCGCUCGCGACGCGGGGGUGGGAAUGACUGGGCGCGGGGCUGGCUGGGCCUCGGCCUGGUUUUCGCAGGGGCUUCUCCCCUUUCUCUUUUUUUCUAUUUUAUUUUUUAAAGCCCUUUCCAAAUGGAAUUUUGAACACAAUUAACUUCAAACCAAAGUCUCUCAGCACAAAAUAAAAUAUAACCCAGCAUGAAUGCAUAGACAAGUUUCUAUCUCUAUGUUAAAUUUUAAUUUCAACAAAAAUAAUUUUAUUUACU